UUUCCUACGGGAGGCUGCAGUGAGGAAUAUUGGUCAAUGGACGCAAGUCUGAACCAGCCAUGCCGCGUGCAGGAUGAAGCAUCUAUGGUGUGUAAACUGCUUUUGUACGGGAAGAAACACUCCUACGUGUAGGAACUUGACGGUACCGUAAGAAUAAGGAUCGGCUAACUCCGUGCCAGCAGCCGCGGUAAUACGGAGGAUCCAAGCGUUAUCCGGAAUCAUUGGGUUUAAAGGGUCCGUAGGCGGCUUUAUAAGUCAGUGGUGAAAGCCCAUCGCUUAACGAUGGAACGGCCAGUGAUACUGUAGAUCUUGAAUUACUUGGAAGUAACUAGAAUAUGUAGUGUAGCGGUGAAAUGCUUAGAUAUUACAUGGAAUACCAAUUGCGAAGGCAGGUUACUACAAGUGGAUUGACGCUGAUGGACGAAAGCGUGGGGAGCGAACAGGAUUAGAUACCCCAGUAGUCA
rnacentral:rRNA from 1 species